UCGUGCACCAACUGCGACC
rnacentral:rRNA from 1 species